rnacentral:rRNA from 1 species
GAUGAACGCUAGCUACAGGCUUAACACAUGCAAGUCGAGGGGAAACGGCAUUAAGUGCUUGCACUUUUUGGACGUCGACCGGCGCACGGGUGAGUAACGCGUAUCCAACCUUCCCAUGACUAAGGGAUAACCUGCCGAAAGGCAGACUAAUACCUUAUGGUCUUCACUGACGGCAUCAGAUGUGAAGUAAAGAUUUAUCGGUUAUGGAUGGGGAUGCGUCUGAUUAGCUUGUUGGCGGGGUAACGGCCCACCAAGGCAACGAUCAGUAGGGGUUCUGAGAGGAAGGCACCCGACAUUGGAACUGAGACACGGUCCAAAAUCCUACGGGAGGCAGCAGUGAGGGAUAUUGGUCAAUGGGCUAGAGCCUGAACCAGCCAAGUAGCGUGCAGGAUGAGGGCCCUAUGGGUUGUAAACUGCUUUUGUAUGGGGAUAAAGUCAAUCACGUGUGAUUGUUUGCAGGUACCAUACGAAUAAGGACCGGCUAAUUCCGUG